AAACAUAAAAGAAGGAGGAGGAGGAGGAGGAGGAGGAGGAGAAGAUGGUUUCCCAGGAUGAGACUUAUCCAUUGCACUUUGUAUGUGCUGACCCCUGCCAGUUCCCCAAAUGUGGAAAACUCAUUUGCUUAAUCUGUGGUAGUGGGGAACUGUGCUCACAUUCACCCCUG
ensembl:snRNA U1 U1 spliceosomal RNA